UUUCCGUAGGUGAACCUGCGGAAGGAUCAUUAUUGAAUAAACCUGAUGUGGUUGAGCUGACUCCUUCGGGAGUAUGUGCUCGCUCGUCAUCUUUAUUUUUCCACCUGUGCACUUUUUGUAGAUUUGGAUGUAACUGUCCGAGGCAACUCGGUUGGGAGGAAUGCUAUCUUUGAUGGCUUUCCUUGUAUGUUCAAACUCUAUGUUUUUCAUAUACUCCAAGUAUGUAACAGAAUGUAUCACUGGGCCUUGUGCCUAUAAACUAUAUACAACUUUCAGCAACGGAUCUCUUGGCUCUC
rnacentral:misc_RNA from 1 species